rnacentral:tRNA from 1 species
GCUGGAGUACCAAAGUAGACAAAUGGAAUUGACUUGUAAUCAAUCGGGAAACCUUCGUGGGUGCAAAUCCUACCUCCAGCA